CCGACGAUACAGCUAAGAAGGGUUGUCUUUCCGCAGCCACUCGGACCCAAGAGUGCAUAUCUGAAAUUAAUGCAUAGAUGGACUGCCCAAGAUUUUAGACGCUUCGCCAUCACUGCCCAGCUUUAUGGGGGUGCUCCGUUUUGAGCCAGCCACACUAUUCUACCCCCAAAGGUCCAUGGUCAAUGGAGGACGGUCGGAAAGGGAAAAGGCCGUACUGACAAGGUUACGUAUAGGUCAUUCAAGAAUAACUCUCGGGCACCUUCUCGAAAGCGAUCAUGUGCGACAUGCGGGAAUAUCGAGGAAAAGGUUCGCCGAGCAACAUUCGUGAAGUAACCGCACUCAAAGCAUCCAUGUUCAGGCAUCAACUAACUGUACAUACCUUUAACCAACUGCCAACUGUUAUCAAAAUCAACAAUUUCCGCCUGAAAAACGGAGGUGUAAUUGCCAAGAGGGGUGGAGAUGAUGAUUCCUAAUUUAGGAAAAUUUUUGGCCGGUGCUUCCCGCCAAAUUCAUUGGAUGUGUGCACCUGGUUUUACGUUUGUAGAACGAUACGAAUUUAACUUCUUGUUGGAUUCUUCUGACAAUAAGUCAUGUAAGGACAGUUUGGUCAUCUCCGCUCAACCUGGUCAUCCUAAAAUCAGGCCUGAAGUCUAUAUGGAACAUAGAACCUUGUUUUGAAAAUCUUUCUUAUGCAAAGAAAGGUUAUACGGCUUCUCUAUAAAGAGGAAAGGCCUGAAGUCUAUAUGGAACAUAGAACCUUGUUUUGAAAAUCUUUCUUAUGCAAAGAAAGGUUACGG